rnacentral:rRNA from 1 species
UACGUAGGUGACAAGCGUUGUCCGGAUUUACUGGGCGUAAAGAGCGCGCAGGCGGUCGAUCAAGUCGAGUGUGAAAGCCCCCGGCUCAACUGGGGAGGGUCAUUCGAUACUGAUCGACUCGAAGGCAGGAGAGGGUAGUGGAAUUCCCGGUGUAGUGGUGAAAUGCGUAGAGAUGCGGAGGAACACCGAUGGCGAAGGCAGCCCCCUGGGCUAACACUGACGCUCAGGCACGAAAGCGUGGGGAGCAAACAGG